UGAAAAAGAUUAUGAUGAUGAUUAUGAUGAUGAAGAAGAUGAUUAUGAAACAGCAGAAGAAACAGAUGAUUAUGAAGGUUAUGAAACAGCAGAAGAAACAGAUGAUUAUGAUGAAGAUGAUUAUAAAGAAGAAGAAUUGAUUAACAAACCAGUACAGUUAGAAAAACUGGUUGAUGAUGAUAAGAGUGAAACACAUGAGGGGACUUCUGAUCCUGAAUCAGUGAUAGUUCAAACA